GCCGACAUGGCUCAGUGGUAGAGCAGCCGCCUCGUAAGCGGCAGGUCCCCGGUUCGAAUCCGGGUGUCGGCUCCA
rnacentral:tRNA from 1 species